rnacentral:lncRNA from 1 species
CCGCGCGGGUGGGAAGACCCUCAGCCGCUGGGGCGCCGUGGCCAACCCUGAGCCCGUUCUCUGGGGCCUGGCUGCUCCCGCCUGCGCGCCCCUGUGUGGCGUUCCAGGUGGUCGUGCUACCCGAGGUUCGCGCGUGCAGGUGUUGUCUGAGGUGUGAGACGCGUCGCUGUGGUUGUCAUGGACACAACACGCUGUUGGGUUGAUCUGUUCCUGUGUGGCCCCCCGCGCGCUGGAGAGCGCUGCACCCCGGGCCCAGCCCCAGCCCGGGUCUGGUUCUGGAGGUGGGUGCGUGGCGUUCUAGCCUCCUGUUUCACUGUUUCGGAGGUGGCAAGAUGGGUGCUUACUCAGUCUCUCUUAACACCUGGAGGCAAGUUAGCCUUCCCGUCCUAGGCUGAGUUUCCUAUUCUUCAGCUCACUGACCACAGAAAUGAAGGGAUCCAGACUUCAGGCUGGCACAGAGGAUCUGAGAGCAAGUCUCCAAGGCCCAUGUGAAUGACAUCCUGAAGGGCACACCUGGAGCUUACUUUUCCCAUCCCCUCUUUAAUAGCCCACCAUUUCCUGGCAGUGAGAGUUACAGCAUCUGGGACAGGAGACCCCUCUGUGUUCUUAAAAAUAAAAAAAAUAAAAAUAAAAACAAUUUAAAAAAAU